AAGUCGUAACAAGGUUUCCGUAGGUGAACCUGCGGAAGGAUCAUUACCAAUAUAGCGAACCGAGCGUUAGCGAGGCUUCGCGAUCAAAUUUGUAUUUAAAACCCAACUCUUUAAAUGUAUAUUAUUAUUGUAUUUUAAAUAAUAAAGAUCACUUUCAACAACGGAUCUCUUGGCUCUC
rnacentral:misc_RNA from 1 species